AGCAGCCGCGGUAAUUCCAGCUCCAAUAGCGUAUAUUAAAGUUGUUGCAGUUAAAAAGCUCGUAGUUGAAUUUCGAGACCGGCUUAUUGGUCGUGCUUUUGUACGUACUGGUAAAUCGGUUUCUCCUUUCUGACGAACUUUAAUGCCAUUAAUUUGGUGUUUUAGGGAAUCAGGACUGUUACUUUGAAAAAAUUAGAGUGUUUAAAGCAGGCUCACGCUUGAAUACAUUAGCAUGGAAUAACGGAAUAGGACGUUUGAUUCUAUUUUGUUGGUUUCUAGGAUCGACGUAAUGAUUAAUAGGGAUAGUUGGGGGCAUUAGUAUUCAAUUGUCAGAGGUGAAAUUCUUGGAUUUAU
rnacentral:rRNA from 1 species